rnacentral:lncRNA from 1 species
UAGCCUGCUAGCUUAUAUAUACAUAUAAGAUGAGGAAGCUCCGAGUUCGAGCCAGCGGCAAUGGUGGCGCCGCGCUGCCCUUCCAUUCUAGUGAUGGUUGAGGCGUACCCGUAUGUAUACGGUCAGUAUACGGUAUACGAUGUAUAGUGUGAUCGAUACGGUGAUUUCUGUCACGUAUGUGUGUGAGAGUCUGAGUGCGAGCAGCUGCUGCAAUCAAUUAAAGUCUAGCAGGCUGACAGCGUACUCUGUCUAAGUUAUUGCUAUUUGUGAGACACUUGUCCAACUAUGGAUGAUGGACAUUUGGACCUGCAAUCUGCACCUUUUGAUACAGAGAAAAAGGUUCGAAUUUUAGUACACCACCUUUUGACGUAUACUAUGUAUCGUUUUAGUACCACGUUUGCUAUUUUCAGAUGUCUGAAUUCUUCCUCUCUCACUCGAUUUGGAUGGCUUGUGCUUUUGGUGGCUGGAUUGGUUACCUUUUGUGCCAGACUUCUUUUUGUGCCAGACUUCUGAGUGAAGCAAGAGGUGCUUCACAUGAAGAAGCAUGGGAAGGGAGUGCGUGUGGGAAAGUAUCUGCAGAGGGGCCGCCUUCUUUUCAUUCUUUUAAAGUUUCAGAAAAAAUGAUGAAACUUCAAUUAGCUCACAGACAGACACACAAACAUUUGGAUUCGAAUCCGAAACAUUGCUCCAAAAACAGAAAUUACAAACUUGCUGUCAAUAGCGAGAUAAUGGGCCAAUUUAAGCCCAACUUACAUCAGAC